rnacentral:rRNA from 1 species
AGCGAACGCUGGCGGCAGGCCUAACACAUGCAAGUCGAAUGGAUCCUUCGGGAUUAGUGGCGGACGGGUGAGUAACACGUGGGAACGUGCCCUUUGGUUCGGAACAACUCAGGGAAACUUGAGCUAAUACCGGAUGUGCCCUUCGGGGGAAAGAUUUAUCGCCAUUGGAGCGGCCCGCGUCUGAUUAGCUAGUUGGUGAGGUAAAGGCUCACCAAGGCGACGAUCAGUAGCUGGUCUGAGAGGAUGAUCAGCCACAUUGGGACUGAGACACGGCCCAAACUCCUACGGGAGGCAGCAGUGGGGAAUCUUGCGCAAUGGGCGAAAGCCUGACGCAGCCAUGCCGCGUGAAUGAUGAAGGUCUUAGGAUUGUAAAAUUCUUUCACCGGGGACGAUAAUGACGGUACCCGGAGAAGAAGCCCCGGCUAACUUCGUGCCAGCAGCCGCCGUAA